rnacentral:lncRNA from 1 species
UCUUCCAUACCGCUCUCUUGGUCCGGUGUCACCAAAUUGUGUCCGACUUUAUUUUCUCAAGGUUGCAUCAACUUCCGGGGUGCCUUAUCAGCAUAAGUUCGAGGGGUGUCUUUCAUCCACUACCAUUGAUCCCGGGAUCGUCCAACCGUUUCUCAUUACUCUGUACACACAAUAAACCACAAAAAAAACAAACAAAAUAAUACGACGAUAACAUAACAAAAAUAAA